CCAGGUGCUAAAAUCUUAUGUGUCAAGGGCAUUGUGAUGGCGCGAUCCAUGUCUCCUGCGGGCGCUCAGCAUCCCGGAGCCCCAAAGAGCUGGACAACAAGCUUCACUGGAUGAAAGUGUUUCCCUUCUAAAACGGAGUGCUGCUGACAUGAAUGCACAAGUUAGUCUUGAUACUAAGAUUGUCAUGGAAUUGCUUGAUCUAUGCUAGGUCAAUAUGUCAGCCAACCACUUAAAAAUAAUCAAUUGCAUUUCUUCCUCUGAACUGUGAAACCUGACGAGUGAUGACGCAUCAGCAAUUUAGCAAUAGAAGAUGUCAGUGAACACGAGUACUCAGUCAAGAGCAAUGAAGCCUAGAUACUUUAGAGUGUAAUUUUAUAUAAGAAUAACUAAAUGACACUUAAGUCAUUGAGCAAUUGUUGUUGAGGUAUUGUCUCACCCUUUAUCUGCUCUGUUUUAAACUGUGUAAUGCUAUGGGCUGGAGCUACAGGGGAAGAGGGAGGUAAGCGUGGAUGCAAUGAAUAUUGUUCGGA